UUUAAAGUCUAAUCUGCCCUAUGAAAUUUUUAAAUGGCUGCAGUAUUUUGACUGUACAAAGGUAGCAUAAUCAUUUGUUUCUUAAUUAGAAGCUAGAAUGAAGGAUUUGAUGAGAAAAUAACUGUCUCAAUUAUAAUUUUAUAAAUUUAUUUUUAAGUUAAAAAGCUUAAAUGAUUUAAAAAGACGAGAAGACCCUAUAGAGUUUUAUAAAUAUAAAAUAUUAAUAUAAUUAAGUUUUUAUAGUAUUAGUAAAUUAAGUUUAUUUAGUUGGGGUGAUUUAAAAAUUUAAAAAACUUUUUUAAUUUUAUAACAUAAAUUAAUGAAAUAUUGAUCCUAAUUUUUAGAUUAAAAGAUUAAAUUACCUUAGGGAUAACAGCGUAAUUUUUUUUGAAAGUUCUUAUUGAAAAAAGAGAUUGCGACCUCGAUGUUGGAUUAAAAUUUAAUAUAGGUGUAGAAGCUUAAUAUUUUAGUCUGUUCGACUAUUAAAAUUUUACA
rnacentral:rRNA from 1 species